rnacentral:rRNA from 1 species
GAUGAACGCUGGCGGCGUGCCUAAUACAUGCAAGUCGAGCGAACGGACGAGAAGCUUGCUUCUCUGAUGUUAGCGGCGGACGGGUGAGUAACACGUGGAUAACCUACCUAUAAGACUGGGAUAACUUCGGGAAACCGUAGCUAAUACCGGAUAAUAUUUUGAACCGCAUGGUUCAAAAGUGAAAGACGGUCUUGCUGUCACUUAUAGAUGGAUCCGCGCUGCAUUAGCUAGUUGGUAAGGUAACGGCUUACCAAGGCAACGAUGCAUAGCCGACCUGAGAGGGUGAUCGGCCACACUGGAACUGAGACACGGUCCAGACUCCUACGGGAGGCAGCAGUAGGGAAUCUUCCGCAAUGGGCGAAAGCCUGACGGAGCAACGCCGCGUGAGUGAUGAAGGUCUUCGGAUCGUAAAACUCUGUUAUUAGGGAAGAACAUAUGUGUAAGUACCUGUGCACAUCUUGACGGUACCUAAUCAGAAAGCCACGGCUAACUACGUGCCAGCAGCCGCGGUAAUACGUAGGUGGCAAGCGUUAUCCGGAAUUAUUGGGCGUAAAGCGCGCGUAGGCGGUUUUUUAGUCUGAUGUGAAAGCCCACGGCUCAACCGUGGAGGGUCAUUGGAAACUGGAAAACUUGAGUGCAGAAGAGGAAAGUGGAAUUCCAUGUGUAGCGGCGAAAUGCGCAGAGAUAUGGAGGAACACCAGUGGCGAAGGCGACUUUCUGGUCUGUAACUGACGCUGAUGUGCGAAAGCGUGGGGAUCAAACAGGAUUAGAUACCCUGGUAGUCCACGCCGUAAACGAUGAGUGCUAAGUGUUAGGGGGUUUCCGCCCCUUAGUGCUGCAGCUAACGCAUUAAGCACUCCGCCUGGGGAGUACGACCGCAAGGUUGAAACUCAAAGGAAUUGACGGGGACCCGCACAAGCGGUGGAGCAUGUGGUUUAAUUCGAAGCAACGCGAAGAACCUUACCAAAUCUUGACAUCCUUUGACAACUCUAGAGAUAGAGCCUUCCCCUUCGGGGGACAAAGUGACAGGUGGUGCAUGGUUGUCGUCAGCUCGUGUCGUGAGAUGUUGGGUUAAGUCCCGCAACGAGCGCAACCCUUAAGCUUAGUUGCCAUCAUUAAGUUGGGCACUCUAAGUUGACUGCCGGUGACAAACCGGAGGAAGGUGGGGAUGACGUCAAAUCAUCAUGCCCCUUAUGAUUUGGGCUACACACGUGCUACAAUGGACAAUACAAAGGGCAGCGAAACCGCGAGGUCAAGCAAAUCCCAUAAAGUUGUUCUCAGUUCGGAUUGUAGUCUGCAACUCGACUACAUGAAGCUGGAAUCGCUAGUAAUCGUAGAUCAGCAUGCUACGGUGAAUACGUUCCCGGGUCU